AGGUUCCAGAAUCAAAUGUUGUGCAAGCACCUAGGAGCCUUGUAAAUAGAGGCUCCUUCCGCCUGCAGCAGCCUCGCUGGGUCCCAGUCUCAGAGCAGCUCCUCAUCUUCUCCUGCUGCUCAGGGUCCAGCCGGCGUUCACCAUGCGGUGUCUCUACUUCGUGCUCCUGACCUGCUUCAUCCUCUUUCCUCACUUUGCCACAGCCUCCACCCAGCGCAUAGACUCAGAAGAGGAGUGCAUUCAGGCUGGUGCCCAGUGUAAAUGGUUUUCUUGCCCAGAAGAUCAUGAACGUCUUGGUUCCUGUUGGUUUGGGAUAAAGAAAUGCUGUCUGCGUGGAUGGUCGGCUGAAGGACAUGGGUGGACAAGGAGCCCAGAGAUCUAAAUAAAGGGCUGACUAUAACUCUGAAAGUGCUGUGAUAUUAUUUCCUGAAAAUAAAGAAACAACCCAUGCUGCA